GGGGCUGUAGCUCAGUGGGAGAGCGCUUACCUAGCGAGUUUGAGGCCCUGGGUUCUGUCCCCAUUGGCCUUG
rnacentral:tRNA from 1 species